GCGCGUAGCGGAGGGGGCGGGACUCCAGCUCCGCGUCUCUUCCAACCGCAGUUUGAAGCAGCGCCAUUUUGAGCCUUCGGCCGCGGCGGGCGUGAUUGCGGGGAGGCAGGGUUCUCCUCCUUCGCCUGGCUUUCCUCGCUCCGUUUCCAUAGCUACAUGUGGAGACGUGUGCACCUCGACGCCUAGGCCGCAUCCUGCAUCCCCGGCGAACUCGCCAAGAUGAUGCUGAGGGGGAACCUGAAGCAAGUGCGCAUUGAGAAAAACCCGGCCCGCCUUCGCGCCCUGGAGUCGGCGGCCGGCGAGGGCGAGCCGGUGGCGGCGGCGGCCAUGGCGCUGACGCUGGCCGGGGAGCAGGCGCCGCCGCCCGCGCCCUCGGAGGAGCACCCUGACGAGGAGAUGGGCUUCACCAUCGACAUCAAGAGCUUCCUCAAGCCGGGCGAGAAGACGUACACGCAGCGCUGCCGCCUCUUCGUGGGCAACCUGCCUACCGACAUCACGGAGGAGGACUUCAAGCGGCUCUUCGAGCGCUACGGCGAGCCCAGCGAGGUCUUCAUCAACCGCGACCGCGGCUUCGGCUUCAUCCGCCUGGAAUCCAGAACACUGGCUGAAAUUGCAAAAGCAGAGCUGGAUGGCACCAUACUGAAGAGCAGACCUCUCCGAAUUCGCUUUGCUACACAUGGAGCAGCCCUAACAGUCAAGAACCUUUCUCCAGUUGUUUCCAAUGAGCUUCUAGAGCAAGCAUUUUCCCAGUUUGGUCCAGUAGAGAAAGCUGUUGUGGUUGUGGAUGAUCGUGGUAGAGCUACAGGAAAAGGUUUUGUAGAAUUUGCAGCGAAACCUCCUGCACGAAAGGCUCUGGAGAGAUGUGGUGAUGGGGCAUUCUUGCUGACAACAACACCUCGUCCAGUCAUUGUAGAACCCAUGGAACAGUUUGAUGAUGAAGAUGGUUUACCAGAGAAGCUAAUGCAGAAAACUCAACAAUACCAUAAGGAAAGAGAACAGCCCCCACGGUUUGCUCAACCUGGGACGUUUGAAUUUGAAUAUGCAUCUCGAUGGAAGGCUCUUGAUGAGAUGGAAAAGCAGCAGCGUGAACAGGUUGAUAGAAACAUCAGAGAAGCCAAAGAGAAACUGGAGGCAGAGAUGGAAGCUGCUAGACAUGAACACCAGUUAAUGCUAAUGAGGCAAGAUCUAAUGAGGCGUCAAGAAGAACUCAGACGCUUGGAAGAACUCAGAAACCAAGAAUUGCAGAAACGGAAGCAAAUACAACUGAGACAUGAAGAGGAACAUCGUCGUCGUGAAGAAGAAAUGAUCAGACACAGAGAACAGGAGGAACUGAGGCGGCAACAGGAGGGCUUUAAACCAAACUAUAUGGAAAAUGUUGUGAAGGCAACAUGGAACUGCUGGUCUAACACAGAACAAACACACCAGGAAUGCUGGCACGUGCUUCUGCAGUGGGUUAUUUGGAGUCUGUGCAGAAGCGAGCUCCCUCUUCUUGCAAUUCUGAACCCUCUGGAUUGUGCUGACAUGGUCUCUAGGAACGGAUUUUGUCUGACGACAGCCACCUGUUUGCAGGGUCACUGCCCAGGUCCAACUACAAGCUUGGCCAUCCUGCUCCAGCUGCUAGGUCUCAGAGCUCCUCUCAGCUCCAGAUUUUAGACUUUUAGACUUACGUUUCCUUUGGAAAAUGUCAUCAUUAAAAAUGCUGUGUAAUGUCACAGCAUGUUCGAGAAAAACAGAAAUUUCAGACCAGAAAACCUUGCGUUGCAAUUAAUGCUUAUGAGCAAUGAUAAUGCCUUAGAGUCCACAGGAGAAAUUUCUACGGGGAAGAAUUCCAGCUUUGUUAUAUUGGAACAGGCCUUCCAGGUAAGUUUCUAACUCAUCGUGUAGCCAGGUGCCCUUUUGCCUCUGGUCCUCCUGCCUCCUCUUAGGCACAGAACAAGCACUUCUCAAUCUUAGCAGUGUAGUCACCCUACAUGUUAAUUCCAAGUAUCAUCACCCUAGGUGCUAGGGAUAAAAGUGACUCACCCUUUCACAGGAUGACCAGGAAAUGCUGUACCACCUUUCAGAACAUCAAAUGCAUGCACAUUUGUAUAGUGUAUAGUAAAUACUUACUAUAUCUGAUUUCUUGCUGUGUGUGGAAAGGGCUCAUGUUUUGACCGCACAACAGUCAUGCUAAACAGCCUCUAGAGCUAUGCCUAUAGAGUUACAAGCAGGAGCCACCAUGACCUAGCCCGAAUGUUUUCUUUUUUGUUUUCCAAAGACACGACUCAGAAAGAAUAGUAGAAAAUUUCAAAUUCAGAUUUUUUAAUUUCUAGAUAGUUCUCAUAUAUAGUGUUCCACAUUGUGGAAAUAAACUAUGCAGAACAUUCUGAACAAUGGCACAGAUACAUACAUGAAGACUAUAAACAUAAAGCCCUGUUGUACUUUAACAGGCAACAGUCUUACAUUGCAAGUUUACAGAUAGAACUACAUAGGAACAUUUGUGUGCCAGAAUUCGAAAGUGCUACAGACUUGGACUUGGGAAUCCAGCAGAAAGAGGCCUGGUCUCAGUCCUUUGGUCAGUUCAGCUGCACUCUGUAUGCACCUAUUAGCAAUUUCACCUAAGGGAGAGAAGUGAGGGGUCAGUACGUACAGCUCCCACCUUGUCAGAGCAUUAGGUUUGGGCUAUUUGUUACUACAUUAGUGCAGCUGCUUAAUAUGGAGAGAUCUUGCCUGCUUAGGCCCAGCCACGCAGUAGCAGUGUAAGGCUGCAGUGAAGGUGAGGCCAGGGCUCAGCAAGGAAGCUCUCAGGCCAACCCUCAGCCAGGUGUGCCCAUAGCAGGCCUCAUGCAGAGGACUUGUCUGCACUAUGUGCACAGACAUUUCCAGACAAUUUUUCUUUUUAAGAAGCAGUAACUGUAAAUACAAAGCAAAGAUUUUUUUCACCUUGGCAAAGGGUGCUUCAGUCAACCUUAUAAACAGCUUAUUGGGUCCGGCAACAGGGCUGAACGAGUAGACAAAGUGACUAUCCUAGAGAGGAAAGAAAAAUGAAGUCAGACUCACAUCUGUGACAUGUACAGUGGAGACCUAGAAUUUUAGGAUAGGAUCUAUGUAGGCCAGAGCUGACGGCUCAGCUUGUCUGGUGAGCCAGGUAUUAUCUGUCUACCUGUACAUGAAAUGUCCUUACUGCAUUAUCUCCCAGGCCCUCAACAAGUUUGUUUUGGGAGGCAGAGUUGGAGGAUCAAUGCAAGUUCAAGGCCUUGCAUAUCUGCACUUAGUUCUAGGCUACCUGAGGCUGCGUGGUGAUACCCAGUAUAGCACCAAGCACAGAAAUAUGGCUACAUUCAAUACAAUGCUUAAUUUAAGCCUUAGAGAAUUCCAGAAGUGGCAAAAAGGAGUGAUGAUGUGCUUUCUGGUAAAAGUAUGAAGGGUUGGCCAGUGCAGUGGCACACGCCUGUAAUCUCAGUGUUCAGGGAGGUACGGGCAGGUGGAUCUACAAAGUCCAGGACAGUCAGGGCUACAGAGUUUUAGAAACCCUGUCUCCAAAAUCCAAAGAGUAUCAUGGGUUGAUGGUCAACUUCCUCUAGCUUGUUGGAUAGUAGUAGCCUUACUUCAACCAAAUCAAAACACCAACAACAGCAUUCAUUUAUGCAUUAACAAGCAUAAACAUAACCACUUAAUCCUGCCUUCAUUCUCAGACUGCAGCAUAAUUUUUAAAGUGGAUAAAUAAACAUUAAAUAUUUAAAAACAAAAUUUGGGUUUUUUAUAAUAAAUGUGAAUUUUAAUAA